rnacentral:rRNA from 1 species
GACGAACGCUGGCGGCGUGCUUAACACAUGCAAGUCGAACGAAGAGCGACGGAAGCUUGCUUCUAUCAAUCUUAGUGGCGAACGGGUGAGUAACGCGUAAUCAACCUGCCCUUCAGAGGGGGACAACAGUUGGAAACGACUGCUAAUACCGCAUACGAUCUAAUCUCGGCAUCGAGGAUAGAUGAAAGGUGGCCUCUACAUGUAAGCUAUCACUGAAGGAGGGGAUUGCGUCUGAUUAGCUAGUUGGAGGGGUAACGGCCCACCAAGGCGAUGAUCAGUAGCCGGUCUGAGAGGAUGAACGGCCACAUUGGGACUGAGACACGGCCCAGACUCCUACGGGAGGCAGCAGUGGGGAAUCUUCCGCAAUGGACGAAAGUCUGACGGAGCAACGCCGCGUGAGUGAUGACGGCCUUCGGGUUGUAAAGCUCUGUUAAUCGGGACGAAAGGCCUUCUUGCAAAUAGUGAGAAGGAUUGACGGUACCGGAAUAGAAAGCCA